CAGGGAUGGUGUGGUGCUCACCUGCCAGGUGGAGCAUGAUGGACAGCCAGCGGUCAGCAAAAGCCAUGCCCUGGAGGUCUCAGCCCACCAGAAAGAACAGUGCUCAGAUACCACUUCUGGAGAUAACAAUCUACACUGCUGCCAAGAAGUCCUCUGGUUUUCACACUGAGCCUUAAUUCAAGAUAAGUUACUCUUAGCUUCUCAUCAUCUUUCCCCAAAGAAUUGAUGCCCAGCAACAGCCCAUCAAAUAUCUUAGUCCUCAUAACUACCAUUUCCCAAUCCAGUUUCAAAUGGCUGAUGCCAAGGAAUUUCCUUCCUACUUCACUGCCAGUGAAAGUUUUAUUAAUUGCACCAUAGCUGCAAGCCAGGGCCAGCCUAGCUCCACUCACUACCAGCCCUGGGGUCCUCAUUGCCAGCUAAUCAUGAUGAGCGGUCAGUUUCCAAACUUACAUUUUAGAGUCUACUUUUCAGACCAUUUCCACUGUCAGUUUUGCUAGGAGGUCAACUGGAGGUGGAUACAGGAAUUCAGGAAGCAUGUUAGAGUGCUGUCAGGGUCAAUAUGCCUGAGGGAGUAGGGCAGAAGUGUAGGAAAGAGACGUGCUGAGCCACAGUGCAGGCAGGACAAAGACCCAGAUGAUUCUUCAAAGAAGCCAAGGGCUGAGAGAGUCCCUUAGAGUUGUGUUAAUUGAGGAGAGCGGCGUGGCCUUCCUAUUUUCAAUUCAGCCAAUCUUUCUAUGGGCUGCUCCAUAGAAGGAGGAGUGAACUUGGAGAGUGCAACUCUCCUCAAGGGAGACAAAGUUCCAGAGAGCCACCCAGCUGAGAACUGCUGGCCUCCAACAUUCCAACCACAGAUGCUGAGAUCUCCAUUCCUUCCUUAAGGACCCAUCAGCACCAUUUUAUUUCCCAGAAAACAUACAUGAAAACAGAAGUAAACAUAACUUCAUUUGUUUGCUUUUAACAGCAAAAAAAAUGCUCAUUGUAAAAAUGCAAAGAAUCCAAAUGUGUGCUCCCCCAGACCUGACUGUCUGUCCAACAGAGAGGUUUCAGAUGGCACCCACUCUGGGGUCGAGGAGAGCUUGAUGUCUGAGUCCCUUCCAAGCAAGAGAGUCAUGCUUUGACUUACCAGCGUGUUUUCUAUCCAACACAGUAUAUUAGGCCCAGCCCCUCAAGGGCCUCCCCAGCUCUCAAAAACAUGGGGUCCCCCCUCACUGCUGGGGCUAAACAGGGCAGCCUGCAAAUCUUUCACUUUGAACCCUCACUGCUGGGGCUAAACAGGGCAGCCUGCAAAUCUUUCACUUUGAAGCCAUCCUCAUAUAAACAAAAAGCAUGUUAGUUGCUUGCUGCAUGUAGAAUCCAAUCAAGGAGAGUGAGGUCUGAUACAAAACAAAGUGAAUUUAUUCCAAAGCUAGGCUGGGGAAAGGGCACCAAGUGUCCUGCCUUUAAAUGUGCCACUUCCCCUUUGGAGCAGAAAGCAGACACUUUCAUAAGGUAAUGGGGAUGGGACCAAGGGCAGGGUUCCCUCUGCUAGUGCCUGGUGACUUAGCUACCUGACAGUUGAGUUGGCGCCAUCCUGGGCAGAAGUCAGUUGUAAAAGUGGCCAAGGGGGCAUGCUUUCCAUAUGCCUCUUGGUGGAUGAAAGUCUGGAGGCUAGCCCUGGAGGUGAAGUUUCCAUGGUGGGUAUGCUUUGGUGUGCCAACUUUCCAGGAGAGAUCUGUCUUAGAGCACACAGAAGAACUUGCCCUGCAGGGAAUAUCUGGUGAGGGGUAGGUGAAAGGUUAUAUUUGCAUUUCUGAAGGGCUAAGUAGGAAACUGGGAGCAGGGGGAAACGGGAAAGAAAACAAAGAGAAAAUAAACUACCUCUUAGCAAACUGGGGGUACUCGGUUAUACUCAUGACCCCUACCUGCCCUUUCGUAAUUGUUCCUAUGACCCUGCAAAAUUGGACUUGUCUUGUUCAAAAGGACACAGUCUCAGGAAUCAUCCUAAGGGACAUAAUGAUGGGCUUCCGUAAGUUUGGAUGCAAGUAACCUUGUGACCCUCCCUAAAUUCUCUGAACCUCAAUCUCCCCGUCAGAAUGGAAUAAUAAACCCUGCCCUACAGGCUUGUGAGGAUCAAGUGAGGGACUCAGAUGCCACACAUAUGAAUAUGCCCAGUACUGGCUCCCACUGCUCCACUUCUCAUAGCUCUCCUCCUGGGCCCCAAGGUGCUGCUGGUGGUUGGUGUCUCUGUCAUCUAUGUCUACUGGAAGCAGAAGGCCUGACUCUCCUUUCCUCCUCCCCUGCCUCAUGGGACCCCCAGUCUCUGCUGCCUCCUUCAUUCCUUGAAGGGCUCUGACUGAGAGAAGGGGCUGGUGAGAAGCUUCCCCAGACUCAGCUCCAAAUGCCUCCCCUCCCAGGACAUCUUCCUGCCCACAGGUUCCUGUUGCUCCUUUGCAGAGUCCUUGAUUCUCCAGAGCAGUCUUCAUUCAUGGUCCUGAGCAGAGGCCAUGGGAUGGGGCUCUGGGGAGUGACUCAUGACACCUCCCUAGGAUGUGGGAAACACGCCAAAUCUAAACCCAUCAGGACACCUCUCCUCCAUCGUCUUGGACUGUCCAUAAGCCACAAACUGCAGUUCAGAUUCUCAAGAGUUAUUCUACCUUCUGGAUUCCUGCCUACUCAAUUACCCAGCCUUAUUGAGAUUCUCUAUUGCCUGCUGAAUACAAAUUAACACUCAUCCUGGUUUUAAGGAGAAAAAAUGAUUCUCCUUCCUCUUUGUUUAAAGAUAUGAUAUAGUUUGGAUAUUUUUCCCCUACAAAUCUCAAUGUGAAAUUUCAUCCCCUACGUGGGAGGUGGGGUCAGGUGGGAGGUGUUUGGGUCAUGGGGAUGGAUUCAUCAUGAAUGACUUGGUGCUAUCUUGGUCUAUUAGUACCCACAAGAUCUGAUUGUUUAAAAGUGCCUAGCAGCUCCCUCUUCUUUCUUUCUGUUCCUCUCUCCCCAUGUUAUGCCAACUCCACUUCACUGUCCACUGUGAGUAGAAGCACUCUGAGGCCCUCCUCAGCAGCAGAUGCAAGCACCAUGCUUCUUGUACAGUCUGCAGAACCAAAAGCCAAAUAAACCUCUUCUUUAUAAAUUA